rnacentral:lncRNA from 1 species
UCUCGGAGAUCUUGUGGGAGAUCUUGCCGGACAAAUCCUUCCAGAGGCCCGGCAUCACCUUCUGCUGAAACGGCGACAGGGCGUACGUCACCGACUUCAUCUUCACCGGUAUUUUCCCCAUAUUGUCUCACUCUAGAUAUCUGCAGAGGUAAUUAGGGUUUGAAGAAGUUUAUGGUCAAUUGAAGAAAAUGGAAUGGUGAUUAAAAAAAAAAAACUCCGUGAGAUCAUUUGGGCUGUAAUGGGCCUUAAUCACUGGGUUUUGAGUUCUGGACUGCGGUGUCGGGGGUAAUGGGUGAUUGCAGUUAAAAGCUCCUUGUUCUUCGAAUCUAGACCGGAUCUUCCCAAGCUCGUAGCUUUAUUUUACUUUUUCUAACCUCGGGUGAUCAAACUAUUUGAAACUAGUUUACCACCCACGCAUAUUGCGUGGGGAUCAUUUUAUUUUCAUGAUGCUAAAUAAAUAUGUAGAUAUAAUAAGGGUUAAUUACGUAAAAAAUCAUGAACUUUGGGUCGAUUUCUAAAUUUGCCAUGAACUUUUUUUUUAUCAAAUUUUUCUUGAACUUAACCAACUGAUCAACCGCCUCUGGAUGGCAAGAAUCCAAAAUCGAGAGCGGAGAGACACAAACACAGACCGGAAAUAGAAUAGCGACCCGGAAGGAACAAAACGAAAUCAUUUAACGGGGAAAAACAAUGUAGUUAAAACUCAAAUUAUAGCCACCGUUUCUCCUCUCUGAACUCCGGCGAAGAGCCGCCCAUCGGACCGCCCCUGCCCUCAGUUUUGCAGAGCCCUAGUUUCCCAAAUCUCUCAUUCCUUAAUCUCGCCAGAGCGAUGAAAGGCGGCGCGAGGUCGGGUGGUGGCGCCGCGUGAAAGGGGGCGCAAACCCUAGUGAGGUGUGAGGUCGGCGGNUGCCAUAUAUAACAUAGAAUGAGGAAGCCGGGUAGCGGGCGAAAUGAGUGGACUGAGAAGCCAGUGUUUGACUCUUUUGUUUAUUUUUCCUGCCGACGUUUUACUUUUGUCUAAGUGUGCUUCAAAUUCCCAUGUUCCCUGUUAAAUGCUGUGACAAUUGUUCUGUAAGCAUUCAGGUAUUUGGUGAUGAAAAGCCAAUUCAACCAGCCUCCAUCUUAGCAAAACUAAAUUCAACUCCACUUUCGAAUCUAUCACAAAAUAAGAGACAAUGAAGGCCUACUCAAUUGAUAAGACACUUAUCUUCCUAAGUUCAUCCACUAUGUGAGGGUUCGAGUCAUCCCAGGAGAAUGGAGAGUCAUUAUUGAUCCUCUAUUGAGAGAGGGGAAAAAAAUCUAUCACAAAAUAAGAGAACCAAAAACUAAAGCAAAGCAUCUCAAACUAGUAAUCUUACUUCGCAUGGAAGAUUUGAAAUAAUGGAUGAGAAUUCAAGACUAACCAGGGGACCUAAGCUCCGAAGGAUUCAAAAUAGUGUUCAUAGGUAACCUCCACAAACACCAAUAAUCACCAAAAACGGAAUUUUGACUCCAGCAUAAACAAGAAAAUAUAUAUGAUGCAUUAGAAACCCAAGCUCAUCCACAAAUAUGUUGAUGAAACUUGCAAAAAUACAGCAUGUGACUACUGUACCAUGGCUGCCAUAUUUAAUUACUAUUUAAAACAGCAAUUUUGUUUGUGGAGUUUUCAAGGUAUAUAAUUUUGUGUCUUCAACAAAUCACUCCCACACAUAGGAAUUGCGAGUCAACCACACAAUCAGACAUUUUUCAACAAAAACUAACGAAUAAAUAGCAUAAUACGAUCAAAUUUUGAUCAUUCAAAUUUCAUAGUCAUCCCUGUCAAUGCAACAAUCUAUUCAUUCACUAACAAACUGCAGUAAUCUAACCCAAAAUCAGAACAAGGCAGAUCAGCCACAAAUCCUAACAGAAAGCCACAAACACAAACAAUUAAGAAGAUCCAGCCUAUGAAUAAAAAUUCUUACGAAUAGGUGCCAACAAGCGGGCUGAGAAGGAGCGUGGCGCUGAUCCAAUUCUCGGAGAUCUUGUGGGAGACCUUGCCGGACAAAUCCUUCCAGAGGCCCGGCAUCACCUUCUGCUGAAACGGCGACAGGGCAUACGUCACCGACUUCAUCUUCACCGGUAUUUUCCCCAUAUUGUCUCCCUCUAGAUAUCUGCAGAGGUAAUUAGGGUUUGAAGAAGUUUCUGGUCAGUUGAAGAGUAAAGCAGUAAAGGAUUGAAGAAAAUGGAAUCUAUAUAAUAUAUAAAACACCAGUUAAACGGUAACAAAUUCCCGGCAAAAUUUCGACAGUUUUUCAUUCCAAAAUUAUAGGCAUAUUCAAAUAAACGUGGGUUUCUUCAUGAGUAACAAAAUUCAUUCAACACCUUCAAUAUUGAAUCAACUAUUUUUGUUCAGAUCUCAAUAUUGAAUCAACUAUUUUUGAAUCAAAAUUUUGAGAGAUGAAUUCAUCAUCACAACUUCAACUUUUAUCUACAAUCACCUAUAUAUUACACAAAAGUCAAAAACUUUAUUAAAAGAAAAAAAAGGGAUCCAACAACAGCUAAAUUUUAAUGGAUUAAAUCCAAGAGGAAAUGCAGAAAGAGAAACAGAACAAGGUCUUAAAAAUUUUCUCGAUUUAAAAUUCCAUCAUCCAUCUCAAUUCAAUCGAGACGAAAAUAAGAAUAAAUUUUUGCAUUCCACAAAUAAAAAUGCAAAUUUUGGGGGAAAGCCGAUUCCAAUUUGAGGUAAAGGGGAUAUAGAAUUUGAU